GGAUGACAUUACUGUGAGAUAUUUGAUGGGAAAUCUACUUAUGAGGUUUCUCAUUCACAAAGUUCCAAUUUUGUGACAUUAUUUACUUUUUGGCUUUAAAUUGAUGAGACUCUUGGCCUACUUCAUAUUCGGAGGCUUAUGUGGCAUGCCUGUUAUAAUUGUAGGUUGGGUUCUCUGAAAGUUGUAUAAUGAGUAGUUGUGUGAAACCGCUUAUACAGAGUGACAUCAAUCCAGUGGUUCUCCUCCAUUGCUUUGACAGGUGGCUUUGCUGUUAAUUUGGGUUGCUGAUAUAAGGAAACAUGUGAAGAAUUUAGAAUUUGGGAAGGGACACGUAUAUAAAGCUGUGCAUGUAACCGAUUUUUAUUUCCUUUCAUUACCUUUGGCCUUAUAUAGGAUGUAUUAGGAUUUGUUCUAUUCACCUACUACCAUGUCAGAUUGUGCAAAGAACCUUGUUUUUACAAUUUAAAACUCUUGCCCCUGUUGACUAUUGAAUUAGAUCAUAUAAAUAUUGAUCGGGUUAAUCUGACUUUUGGUAUCAUAUAAAUUCAUACAAUUAUGAA